UACAGAGGUCUCAAGCGUUGUUCGGAUUCAUUGGGCGUAAAGGGUGCGUAGGCGGCGCGGUAAGUCGGGUGUGAAAUCUCGGAGCUUAACUCCGAAACUGCAUUCGAUACUGCGUGCUUGAGGACUGGAGAGGAGACUGGAAUUUACGGUGUAGCGGUGAAAUGCGUAGAUAUCGUAAGGAAGACCAGUGGCGAAGGCGGGUCUCUGGACAGUUCCUGACGCUGAGGCACGAAGGUCAGGGGAGCAAACGGG
rnacentral:rRNA from 1 species